AAUUAUUUCAAAUGACGACUCUGAUUAAAUCGAUUAAUGUCACUUUAAUUAGAAAAACUCCAGUAUUCCUCGUGAAAAAAAAGGAGGUGUAACAAUCUUACACACACAACACAUAAAGGGAGGGACCUAAUCCCAAAAAAGAAGACCGCUAACAGCGCCUCCCCCUUCACAUCUUCUCCAUCUUCUUCCUCUCAAAAUUAAAAAGACAUACUCACACACGCACAGACAGAAACAGAGAAAAGAACGGAAUUCCUCCAAGAGCCGCCCAAGUCCCUUUCCCCAUCUCUCCAGCUCUCGCCCUUUCCAUGGUUGCCGUUGCCUGAGGUGAUGACCGGCGACGACCAUGACUGUUGCUGUUGCACCUAGCUAUUGCUUCUGUCCCUUUUCCCCCUCUACUGUCACUGUUUCGCCGGAGUCGCACCAUCAACGGCAAACGAGCAGAAAAUCGGCGAUAGUCGUCCAAACUGGUUGGUUUCAACUAUUUUUUUUUAUUUUAAAAACUAAACAAAGCUGAAAUCUGUUUCUGCUGAGUUGUAUCGAAAUUGGGGCGUUGAAGUCAUUUGAGGUCGUAGUCUAUGGUUUCCGGGCAGAUUCGCGGUUCCGUCGAGUUAGUCGGUAAAUUUUCCGGUCGAGAGCCGUCCAGCUAUUAAGCCUUUGUAAUUUCAACUCAGUUCAUUUAUACCAAAGGUCAAAUUCUCGUCCCUUUCUUCCUUCUUUUCUUUACAAAGAUCUCUUUUCUAAUUGAUGAGAUUCUUGGUAUUGUUGGUUGCAUACUGAUUUGCUUGAUGCGUUGUUUGGAUGCUAAUAUUAUAGUGGUUAUUUUAUUUCUCUGUUGCAAUGUUUCUUUAGAUAGUGAUGUUUGGAUUUUAAUUAUUUAUUUUGAGCUUCUAAUCUAAUAAGAUAGAAUUGAAUAUGCUUGUCUUUAUUUAUUUUAUUUUAUUUUGAUUGAAAGGGACUUUGCAGGUUCUAAUUGAGAAGUUUUAGUUUAGCAACUUGUUAAUGGAUUGCACUGAGCAAUAUGGCAAAUAAACUAUCUGAAUUCUUGGUUAAUAGCUACAAAAUGACUUUUAGCCUGUUAAUGACCUGUAAUAUAGAUAACUUUAUCAAGUAUAAUAGCUACUACGUAAUACAUUUCUCCCACAAUAAUUUCAUAGCUUUGGCCUCGCAAUAAUUUCAAAAGUUUAGGAAGAAUAAUGAACAACGUUAGAGUGCUUUAGGUACACUUUUAAUUGAAUUAUCGUGAUUAUAUAUACGUUCACGUGACAUAAUUAUGAUUCCCAAAAUAAAUCAAGGUACGCAUUCGCGCGACUUUGAUCAAACAAUCUUAGUAAUUAAUUAAGUGUUAUGGAUUGUGUACACGUACGCGUGACACGAUUUUGACACCCGAACAAAAUGGGUACACGUACGCGUGAUUCAUUUCGAGAUAAUUCCAUAAGGCCAUAAUCAAGUAAUUAAAAGCGGUAAAAGGUAAAAUGUACAUAGGUUCUAAAACACGUAAUUAAACAAUUUAAUUAAGCCAUGUAUGAUUAAAGCGACCGUGCUAAAACUACGGAACCCGGGAAUGCCUAACACAUUCUUUCGGGUUAACAGAAUUCCUUAUCCGGUCUUCUGUGUUCGCAGACUUUAAAACAGAGUCAAAUUUCCUCGAUUUGAGAUUUAAAAUAAACCGGUGACUUGGGACAUCAUAAAAUUAUUUCAAGUGGUGACUCUAAUUAAUUAAGUAAUCCUAUUUCGAAUAAUAUCACUUUAAUUGGAAAAACUCUCCUAUCCCCUCGGGAAAGAGGAGGUGUGACACCAGAUAUUGAAACUAACAUAUCUCCUUCAUUAAAAGGACAAAUGGAGUGAUUCAAAAGCAUAACUUGACACGAAUUUCACGUGGAAUCCAUUGGAGGCAUUAAAAGCGAGUUUCGGUAUCGUUUGACAUAAGAAACGAGGCAUAACAGAUGGACAUUUUUGGCUAUUAAUGAUUGUUGGAGUUUUUCUCAUCUUGAAAAUUUGGGAUUGGGAGAAUUCAAGGAUGUUCUUCAAGUUUCUUCCAUUGGGUAAGGUAUAAACCAUAACCUAAGUAUUUUUCUUUGAUUCAUUCCCUUGGGUUAAGCUUUAAUCCAUGAUUCUAAUUGAAAACCAACUUAAUUCUUUAAAUCAUGACCUAAGGUUAUGUCCUAAAUUUUAAAAAUUGAAAAUGAGUUAGAGGCGUUUAUUUUUUGAUUCCUUUUGGGGUCUUGUUCUCCUAUAUUAGGAGAACAACAAACUCGAAUUUGGCGAGUUUUGGAGAAGUAUUUCGGGAGAUAUGAGACCCAACUAAUGUGGGUUGGACUCUUGGGUUAUGAACACCCAAGAGUAAUAAUUUUUGCAAAUUGGUUGCGCUAUCGGACUCCGAUUGAGCCGGUUUUUGUUUGUGUGAGCUUGUAUUGGUUCGGGCUUCGCUCGAGUAACCAUGGAUUCGGAAUUCAAGGCGGCACCAACGUUGACUUUUGUUGACUUUUUGGAGAUUAUAUAAAGAUCAUAGCUUCAUUUAUGUAAUUGGUUUCUCUUGCACUGUUUGAUGUUAUUAAGUCAUUUUUUAUUAGAUUUGAGCCGUGUGGAGGCGAAUUUUAGGAGAAAAACUAUUUUGAAAGGUUGAGUUGGCCUAGUUGAGGUAAGUAUCUUGCCUAAUUUUGUAUGGGGGAAACUACCCUCUAGGAUUUGGGUUGAUUGUGCUAUUUGUUUAAUGUGAAAGCCGUGUACGUAAGGUGACGAGCGAGUACACGGGCUAUAUGUGGUAUUUGAUAGAUUUAGAUUAUCUAGACUAUUUUCAUGCUUUUAAUUGAAUUGUCAUAACAUGUUAUAUCUCUCAUUGUUAAUUUACUCUUACAUGCUCUAAUUGACGUUGUUAGCACUUGUUCUACCUCUUACUUGUUAUUUUGCUCUUAUAUGUUUUAGUUGAAGUUAUUGCUUUCAUUAUUGUCUUGUUACCUCUUAAUUGUUGAAUCACUUUUAAUUGAAGUUAUUAUUUCAAGGAAUAUCAUCUUGUUGAGUUAUUGGUGUUGAGGUUGUAAUAGCCGUUAUCACAUUGAGGCGGAGUUAUUAAUUGUUGAGAUACCUUUCCUCGUUGAGCAUUCCCAUUCAUUUUAUUAUUGUUGAAAUUCUUGUACACACUGUGGUUGAUCCAUGAGCUAUUUGUUAUGAAAAUAUUAAAUUGUUCGUCUCUUCCAUGACUUCGUGCUUGUUUGCUACUUGCCUUAACUGUUUUACUUGCACACCUUAAUUGUCACAUGAUUUACUUGUCCUGUUCUUUUGUAAUAUUUGUUGCAUUCCUUUGAUUAUUACGUGGUUCCUUUAUUGCCUUGCACUCAUACCCUCUGAUUGUAGAGAUUCUUGUAAAUUGAGUUAUUGGAUUGUCUAUGUUAAUUGAAAUUGUUUGUGGAUCGGGUUGCAUGUCGCAACGGGGAAUAAAUGAUUAUAAAUUGAAAUGGUGGAAUAAGGGAGGAUUAUGAUAUUUAAAAAUAAUGAUAUGGUGGGAUCGGGUUGCGCUGUGCAACGGUUUGUGUACGUAAUAAUUGAUGUUGAUAAAUGAUAAUAUGGUGGAAUAAUGGAGGAUUAUGAUGUUGAUAAAUGAUGAUAUGAUGGGAUUAGGUUGUGCGCCGCAAUGGAUUGUUUACGUUACACUUGAUAUUGAUAAAGGAUGUUAUGAUGGGAUCAGGUUGUGCGUCGCAAAGAAUUGUGUGUGUUGUACUGGUUAUUGUUGUUGUUGUUCUGAUAGUUUCAACAUUUUUAUAUGAGAUUACGAGAUUUGUUAUUCUGGGCUUUCUGAUAGUGAGGUUUGAAUUCAUUUUCAUAAACUAACUACUUUACUUUAAUUUCUUGUUUUAUUUCCUUGUUCUUAUUAUUAAAUUGCGUGAAUUCACUAUAUUAUAUUCUGUUGAGUUAUUGGUAACAUAAUAGUUUAAAUAAAAAUAUUAUUAACAUACUUUAUUCUAUGUGCCUCUUCAAAAUAGAACACGCUAUCUCACUCGGUGCCUUAUUAUUCUAAAUGGUUAUCGAACUUUCACUAUAAUUGAGUUCUCAAAUUAUACUCAGCACCCUGUUAGAUGUUUAUCUUGCUUAAAAUUAUUAUCAUGCUUUUCCUUAACGAAUUCUAUAUUUAAUUUGUUAAUUUAACUUAUAUUUUGUUUUGUUUAAAAAUGAUACUUUUACUCAAUUUUAUUAAUUUCUAAACUAAACCCAUUUUAUACUAUGUUUUGUACAAAUUGUAUAUUAUUUUACUUUACUUGAUUUCUAAAAUAAAUUAAUAAUUUUAUUUGACACCUUACUUUAUUCAAGAUUGUUAUUAUAUUUUAUGGUGUUUAAAUAUAUCUUCCGUUCAUCUAAAUUGGUUGCAAAGUACAUGAUAACACGUGGGCUUGGUCGUGCGAAGGUGAUUGUUAUUGUGCGCACGAGGUGCCAUAUGUGUAAGAUUUAAAAAUUAUGGUCCAUGACUUGUGGUUUAUGAGAUGUGGUACCGGAGGGUAAUUCUUGUUGUAAGUCCAUGCGUUGGGAGCGAUUUGAUUAUUUGAGUUGUCAUCCAUUUUUCCUUAUUUGAGUUCAUUUACAUCUCAUCGAUGUUCUGAUUAUGUUGUUUCUUUAUUACUCGUUUACUACUUGCUGCCAUUUAUAUUUCUAUUACUUCAUUGUUGGUUGUAAAUCAAUAAUUUUUUCGUCGCUGGUGUUACAUUGAUUUUCUUUCCAUUGUUAGCUUAUGUAUAUCUGGAGCAGGUUUUUAUGUCUAGUAGAGGUCUUGACCUGGCCUCGUCAUUACUCUACCGAGGUUAGGCUUGAUACUUACUAGGUACCGUUAUGGUAUACUCAUGCUACGCUUUUGCACAUUUUUGUGCAGAUCCAAGUAUUCUGAUUGUAUUGUUGAGAGUUGCGUCUGCGCGGCGGGAGACUUCAAGGUAUACCUGCUUGACGUUCGCAGGCCUUGGAGUCACAAUCUUACUUCAUUAUGUUACUUUUAAAUUGUAAUUGAAAAUAAUAUUGUGUUUAAAAAUUCUAGUGUGUUUUAGUAGUGCUUAUUACUCCGUACUACAUGUUUUGGGAAAUGUAUAACUAUUGGUCGCUUGCGGCUAUGUAUGUCAUUUAAUAAUUUAUGAUAAAUGAUUAAAUAGUUCAAUUCUGUUAUUAAA
rnacentral:lncRNA from 1 species